GACGAACGCUGGCGGCGUGCCUAAUACAUGCAAGUCGAACGAUCAGAGGAGCAGCUUGCUGGUCCGGGAUGAGUGGCGAACGGGUGAGUAACACGUGGGUAACCUACCUCUAUGACUUGGAUAACUUCGUGAAAGCGUGGCUAAUACGGGAUAUCAUGGUGCACUGCCAGGAUCGACAGUGAAAGACGAUCGUGCCGGCGCUGGUAGAGGUCGCCGCGCCGCAUUAGCUAGUUGGUGAGGUGGCGGCUUAACACGGCAACGAGGCGAAGCCGAGCUGAGAGGGGGGUGGGCAACAUCGGACUGGAGAUGCGGCCCAGACUAGUAUGGUAGGGAGCGGUAGGGUAUCUUACGCUAUGGGCGAGAGGCUGACGGAGCAACGCCGCGUCAGGUAAGAAGGGCUUGAGAUCGUAAUGUUCUGUUAUUAGGGAAGAACAAAUGGGUAGGUAACUGUGCACGGCUUGACGGUACCUGGUCAGAAAGCGACGGCUAACUACGUG
rnacentral:rRNA from 1 species